GAUGAACGCUGGCGGCGUGCCUAAUACAUGCAAGUCGAGCGAACGGACGAGAAGCUUGCUUCUCUGAUGUUAGCGGCGGACGGGUGAGUAACACGUGGAUAACCUACCUAUAAGACUGGGAUAACUUCGGGAAACCGGAGCUAAUACCGGAUAAUAUUUUGAACCGCAUGGUUCAAAAGUGAAAGACGGUCUUGCUGUCACUUAUAGAUGGAUCCGCGCUGCAUUAGCUAGUUGGUAAGGUAACGGCUUACCAAGGCAACGAUGCAUAGCCGACCUGAGAGGGUAAUCAGCCACACUGGAACUGAGACACGGUCCAGACUCCUACGGGAAGCAGCAGUAGGGAAUCUUCCACAAUGGGCGAAAGCCUGACGGAGCAACACCGCAUGAGUGAUGAAGGUCUUCGGAUCGUAAAACUCUGUUAUUAGGGAAGAACAUAUGUGUAAGUAACUGUGCACAUCUUGACGGUACCUAAUCAGAAAGCCACGGCUAACUACGUG
rnacentral:rRNA from 1 species